CACCGCUGCUGCUGAAGUGCCAGGGACAGCAUAGGAAUGGAGCCAUCACCAUGUGCCCAGGUGAUGUGACAAGGGGCGUCUUAUGGGCAGGAGCGUCUUAUAGGGUGAAAAAUACAGAGUGGGAUGUCUUACUUCCUGUUCUGAGGAGGAGUUCCUGUCCUGGAACAGAGGGGAGAAGAAACACUAGUCAGAACUCCUGCUUCUGUUACAGAUUCUCCAGGGAGAACUACUCAAAUUUUCCUCAACUAAAUUCUUGAGACGCUAGACAGCACAGUAAACUGCUACCACCAGCCAUGAAGACACUGCGGCAAGGUGAGGGAUUACAGCCAAGACAUCUAUAACCAGACUACUAUUAGUCCAGUAUAACCUAAGUGCUAAACCUGCCUCCAUAUCCA